CUUUAAGUGAUUCCAGUCUGCAGAGAAGUGGGUGUCAUUGCCUUAGAUGAAAGGACCCAACUCAUGGAGAUGCCUGGGAUCUUCUGGCCCUUCUCUAGUGAAUUUUUCUUACAAGAAACCCUUGGAGGAAAAGUACCCUGCAAAAUAUCAAGAAGUACAAACAACACUGUGAAGAAGAACUUCUGUGAAGAAGAAAUGGUAAGGGUUAAAGGGAAAAGGAUUCCACCAGUUUGGGAAAUCUGGGAAGAUAGAUAUACAAUGCUACAUCAGAAGUGCGAGGACUGAGUUUAUUCACAGCUGGAAAAGAGUCCGCAUCAAAGCAAAGACAAGAGUAUUACACUCUUCAAAUUGUAGCUUAGAGCAGUGUACUAAUGGGCCCUCUUCUGGGGCAUGGUGUCUGAAAGGACAUGUGUUUACAGAAACUCAGAGGUUGUAUUUAUUUCCACAGCAUCAUAUUUAAAGAGAUCAUAGGGUGAUGAAACAGAAGUUCUGCAGCAUAUGUAAAGAGAUGUUUUACAGAUAAAGGAAUAGUCCACAUCCGGAGUUCCUCUGCCUAUGUGAAUCCUGAGUUACUGGAUUUUUACAAUUUUUCUCCUUUUCAUAAAUCCAUUUAGUUUAUUGAACACAUGGUAUGUUCAUGAUUAGAAUGAAAUUGCCAGGAACACAGGACUUUGUUUUAUUCACACUUGAAUCCCCAGUGCCUAGAAGAAUACCUGGAAUAUAUUAAAAGCUCAAUAAAUAUGUGAGCACUUGAAUUAAUUGGUGACUGCCAAACUAUGUGCUGUAGAGGAAAUAAGAGGUGAUUGAAAUAUAGUUCUUUUCUUUUUAAAAAUUAUUAAUUGACACAUAAAAAUAGUACAUAUUUAUGAGCAACGGUGUGAUAUUUUGAUUCAUGUAUACAAUAUGCAAUGAUCAAAUCAGGAUAAUUAGCGUAUCUAUCACUUUAAACAUUUAUUAUUUCUUUGUGUUCAGAACAUCCAAAAUUCUCUCAUCUAGCUAUUUGAAAACACACAAUAAAUUAUUAUUAACUAUAGUCACCCUACAGUGGUAUAGAACACUAGAACUUAUUCCUCCUAAGUAGCUGUAAUUUUUUCAUAUAGUUCUUUUCUCCAUGAAGCUUAUUGUCUUUGUUUUUAGGGACUGGAGCCAUUUAAGAGUGGAUUAUUUUUGAAAAGUGUGAUCAUAAUUCUAAAAGUCACUGAAGUUUUCAUUGUGUUCUUGGCUUACCCAUGGGAUAAACUAGUUUCUCAUCCUCUGUCACUGUACACUCCAGUAACAUCUAUCCUUGCUUAAUGUGAAGUGACUUAAAAUGAGAUUAUAAUGCAGA
rnacentral:lncRNA from 1 species